rnacentral:sRNA from 1 species
CCCUAGCCAAACACGUUCCUCGGAAUGCAGGUCUUGGCAGUCCUUUGCAGAGUUUUAAGUUGACGGCGCUGUGCACUAAGGCAGCCUCCAUCGUCGGGCCUUGGUCAAUCAGAGCAUCGAACACCAACGAAAGACGAAGCCGAGUGAGGGGCGGCCACGCCACAGCUUCCCCGCUCUCCCAGCCCUGAAACGGCGAGGCCUUCCGCUCCUGAUCAUCGAUCGAUAUUGAUCAAUGAGCUGCGAGAUGAUUAUUAUUCAGGCUUUCUUUAUGUGGUAUCCUCGCUAUCCGUUUUUUUCGUUUUGGGCCCUCUGAUCGGCGUUUGCUGGGUGGCCGUUGAGGAAGAGGCGAAGGACCCUUGUUCGCCCACGCGCCUGCUUCCUGUCCUUGGUUUUGCCAUGGCGAUUGGUUUCCGAUAUGAUGGAAGACUUCCAACAUUCAUUGCCUGUCAAUGGCCUCCCCUCUUCGACAAAUUGUCAUUUGUGUAUACAAAGUAGCUAGCUGUCCUGCGGAAGGGAACCGCGAUGUACUGUACCAAUACAUCUCCCAUCUCAUGAGAUCACGGGCAAAAAAAAAAAAAAAAAAAAAAAAAAAAGGAGGCAGGCCCGUAACUUGACUUCUAAAAGGGAGUUUAUCAUAUAUUGAUUUCGGAAAGGCAUUCAACCAGGAGCUAGCUGGCCUAGGCUUUGGGUUGCCCCUGGACAGGGGCAACAAAGCAAUAACAUAACAUAUAGAAAAAGAAACUCCAUCGUCUUUGACAAUGAUUUCUUUUACGCUGUUCUUCAUCGCUGAGAAGUUAAGCCACAGAUGUAGUUUGGCGAUAACUUUUUAUUUUUAUUUUUAUUUUUUCUCCCACAGCUCCCUGUUGGGUACAAUGGUCAAACCAUGUUUUCGCAGCGAAAUUCGGACGCAGG